CACCCACACACACAUAAAGAAGAGAAAAUUAAUUGAUUUUUUUCCCGUUACUUCUCUUCAAGAAGAUCCAAAAUCUUAUCAUUCUUGAAAUUUUAAGUCAAAGUUCCAAUUUUUCAGAUUUAACACCUUAAUGGGUGUCAUUUGAAAUCAAGAAAUCAAGGAAUUGUCAUGUUUGGUGCUGUCCAAUUGGGACUACUUGCAGCAGGUGUUGUACUCUUUGUUCCUAUGGGUAUGGCUGGUUGGCACUUAAGUCGUAACAAGAUGCUAUUUUUCAGCUGUGCCCUUUUCAUUACCCUUUCUGUUGGUGUUCAUUUGGUACCUUACUUCCCUUCUGUUACUUCUUUCCUUAGCUCCAAUAAAUCAAGUUCAGUAUUACCUUUAGAAUUUACUGUAAAAAAGGAUUCUUGCUUGUCUUUACUUCAUCAAGUGUCAUUUGAUUUUCAAGAAUUGAAUAAAAAUGUGACUAACAGUGUUGAAAAUAAGGGUAGUGGUAGAAAAAUUGGUUCUUGGAAUUGGGUUGAGUCUGAAAUUGUAAAUGAAUGUGAUUUUCAAGAAUUGAGUAAGGCCGAUGCUUCGGAUUUGUUAAACGGAUCGUGGGUCGUUGUAGCGGGGGAUUCACAGGCAAGAUUAAUGGUGGUUUCUCUAUUGGAGUUGAUAUUAGGGAGAAAUGAGAUGGAGGUGAUAAGAGGGGAUCUGUUUAAGAGGCAUAGUGAUUAUAACAUUUUUGUUGAUGAGAUUGGGAUGAAGUUGGACUUUAUGUGGGCGCCUUACGUGAGUAAUUUGACUGAUUUGAUGCUCGGGUUUAAAGAAAAAAGGAGUUAUCCCGAUGUAUUUGUGAUGGGGGCAGGGUUAUGGGAUAUGUUACAUGUAAAUAAUGCAUCUGAUUAUGGUGUUUCUUUAAAGUCUUUGAAGGAUUCAGUAGUGUUGAUGUUACCGGUUUCUUCGCCGUUUGUUAAUGAGGGUGAUGGAGCGAAUGUGGUUCCUAUUCGGUCGCCCAACUUGUUUUGGUUAGGGAUGCCUAAGUUGAUACAUUCAAUGUUGAAUACAGAUGAGAAGAGGGAGAAGAUGAGUGAUGUAAUGUGGCAAGCUUAUAGCAAUGAGCUUUAUAGAAGUAAGCUGCUUCGACAAUCCGGUGGCCCGCUGUUUUUGCUGGAUAUCCAUUCCUUGAGUAAUAACUGUGGAGCUCAUUGCACGGAAGAUGGAAUGCAUUAUCACGGGGCUGUCUAUGAAGCCGCUGUACAUAUCAUGUUAAAUGGAUUGCUUAUAGAAUCUAACCAGAAGCUAUGAUGGAGAAAUUAUGGUUUUCUGUCGACUAAGUAACUCUGCGACACCCUUCCGCAAUGGGAAAGGGCAAUAUGUUUGAUCUAUAACCAGUGGCGGAGCCACAUAGCUCCAAGGGGUGUCAUUCCUUUGCCGGAAAAUUACACUGUUUAGAUAGGGUCCAUCUGCUUUAUUUUCAUCUGGCCUUGAGCGAGGAUCUAUCGGAAGCAGCAUUUCUACCUUCCACGUAGGGGUAAGAUCUGUGUACAUGCUACCUUCUUCAGACCCCAUUUAUGAGACUAUACUGGGGUUUUUUUUUUUGUUGUUAUUGUUGUAUCUGUACAACUUCCAACAUAAUGGUUAUUUCCAUUGUGAUUGACUCUUUUGUCAAGGUCUUUGUAACUUAAAAGAUUGCAUUUCUUGGGUAGAUAUUGUAGAGGUCAUAAUC